AUACGGAGGGUGCAAGCGUUGUUCGGAAUCACUGGGUGUAAAGGGCGCGCAGGCGGUUUGGUAAGUCAGAUGUGAAAGCCCAUGGCUCAACCAUGGAAGUGCAUUUGAAACUGUCAGACUUGAGUACUAGAGGGGAAAGUGGAAUUCCCGGUGUAGAGGUGAAAUUCGUAGAUAUCGGGAGGAAUACCGGUGGCGAAGGCGACUUUCUGGCUAGAUACUGACGCUGAGGCGCGAAAGCGUGGGGAGCAAACAGGAUUAGAAACCCCUGUAGUCC
rnacentral:rRNA from 1 species